rnacentral:rRNA from 1 species
AGCUUUAUUUUUUUAAAGUAAAUUCUGCUCAGUGAAUCUAAUUAAAUAGCCGCAAUAUCAAUUACUGUGCUAAGGUAGCAUAAUCAUUUGUCUUUUAAUUGGAGGCUGGAAUGAAUGAAUAUUCCGAGAAGAAAGUUUUAUAAAAACAAUUUGAAAUUAAAUUUAAAAUAAAAAUGUUUUAAUAAAAUUUAGGGACGAUAAGACCCUAAAAGCUUUAUAAAAUAAAAUUUUAAUGAAAUUUGUCUUAUUUAGUUGGGGGGAUAAAUGAAAAUAUAAUCUUCAUUUUUGAAAAUUAAAAUUUUAGUUACUUUAGGGAUAACAGCAUUAUUUCGUUAGAGAGUCCUAAUUGAAAACGAAGAUUAUGACCUCGAUGUUGAAUUAAUUAUUCUAAUAAAUGGAGAAAUUUAAUUAAGAAGGUUUGUUCAACCUUUAAAAAAUUACA